rnacentral:rRNA from 1 species
UCGCCAGACUCCUACGGGAGGCAGCAGUGGGGGAUAUUGCACAAUGGGGGGAACCCUGAUGCAGCGACGCCGCGUGGGUGAAGGAGCGUUUCGGCGCGUAAAGCCCUAUCGGCAGGGAAGAAGAUGACGGUACCUGACUAAGAAGCCCCGGCUAACUACGUGCCAGCAGCCGCGGUAAUACGUAGGGGGCAAGCGUUAUCCGGAUUUACUGGGUGUAAAGGGAGCGUAGACGGCGAUGCAAGCCAGGGGUGAAAGCCCGGGGCCCAACCCCGGGACUGCCCUUGGAACUGCAUGGCUGGAGUGCGGGAGGGGCAGGCGGAAUUCCUGGUGUAGCGGUGAAAUGCGUAGAUAUCAGGAGGAACACCGGCGGCGAAGGCGGCCUGCUGGACCGCGACUGACGUUGAGGCUCGAAAGCGUGGGGAGCGGACAGGAUUAGAUACCCUGGUAA